GUUGCAAUCUCUUGUCUAGUAAGAAUUCGGGUACGAUGGAACAAACUCAUGGCAGUUUUGUUAUUUUCGUAACGAGAGGCUCCUUUUCCAUAAAAGAGUUCCCUCCAUACGUCGCACACUCCCGCCCAGAUUUCACGUUGCCGUGCGGUAGUGGUCAUCGGGAUGGGGAAGCGCCGGGUCGCGUAUGUCUCCGACGACGAUGACGAGGAUCCGAGGCGCCGAAACGAUGCGGACAACGACCGCAACGGCGACGGUGACUGGAAGGACAAGUGGAAGAAGAAGCUUCGAGUCGACGAGGAGGACGCGGAGGAGGGGGAGAUCGUUAGCGAGUCCAAGAAGGGCGGUGACGGUGGGGGCGGAGGGCGUGGAGGAGGAGAGGAGGACGCCCGCGUCGAAGAGCUGGAGGAGGAGGAGGAGGAGGAUGAGGAGGAGGUGGCGAUGGAGCGACAGGGGGACGCUAAGCCCAUCGGCGACGUAUUUAGGGUUUCCGGGAAGGGGCGGAGCAAGAAGAUGCACUAUUCAUCUUUUGAGUUCGACGGAAACGUCUUCGAGCUCGAGGAUCCUGUUUUGCUAACACCAGAGGAUUACAAGACGAAGCCGUAUGUCGCCAUCAUUAAGGACAUUGCACAAGAUGUAGAUGGCAACGUAUGGGUCACCGGCCAGUGGUUUUACCGUCCUGAAGAGGCAGUGAAAAAAGGAGGUGGACAUUGGAAAGCACAUGAUCACAGGGAACUCUUUUACAGUUUCCAUCUUGAUGAGGUGCCAGCGGAAUCUGUGAUGCACAAAUGUGUCGUUCAUUUUGUUCCUUUGAACAAGAAGUGGCCACUUCGUCAACAAUUUCCAGGUUUUAUAGUGCAAAAUGUCUAUGACACUGUUGAGAAAAAGCUCUGGAAGUUGACUACCAAAGACUAUGAGGGCACUAAACAACAUGAGAUAGAUCUCCUUGUUCAGAAGACACGAGAGUGCCUAGGGGAGCUAUCAGAUGUUGAGCUUGAAGAAACUUCUGCUUCCGCACCUGUUCCACUUGAUCAUUCUGAUCAGUUAGCAAAUAGGCGGAUUUUCAGAAGAAAGGGCAUGGACCCCAUUGAUGUCUCAAGAUCUGAUGAUGCAACAAAAACUGAGAAUCGGAUAAGAGCAGAAACACCAGGAAGUUGUACAAGUCACGGUUCAGAGUGCAAAACCAUUUUAGCAAAAUGCAAAGCAUUGACUGGUAAUUCAUACCGUGACAAGUGGUUGGAUAAACUUCUACAAGGAAUUAAAGUAGCAUAUUUUUCAAAAAAUUCUGGGUUGGCUGUCAUGAAUGGUAAUGGUGGAUCAGGAACUACUAUGGGAUCCAACAAAAAUAGCUCCGACACUGGAGAAAGCAUUUCUUGGCCAGAUUCAGCUGUCCAGGCUAUAACUGCACUCGAGAGAGUUACAUAUGAAGCCCUUUGUUCUGACUUCCAGAAAUAUAAUCAGAAAAUGAGACAAUUAGAUUUUAAUCUCAAGCUAUUCCAUUGUCAGAUAAGUUUGGACCGGGAUCGACUGGCUUGAGCAAUCAUAUCUGAGGUUUAAGUUGCAAAUGAGAUGAAAGAAACAAUUUAAAGUACAAUUUAGAAAAAAAAAUAAAAAUAAUGAGAAUUACUCGCCUCAUCUGCAUUGUUGGAGAGGCACUCAAGGGCUCAUCUCACCACAAGGAAAAGAAUAAAACUUGGAUCAUCAUACCAAUUGGCCUGCCAAUUAGUCUUGAGCCUAUGAAGCGUAUCAUAUCCACCAGAUACUGUGGAGUAUCUUGGAAUGCUAUGGUAAAUUCCAAUUUGAAUUAGCCAAAUUUUAAAGCCUUCUUUCUAUGUUCCUUGCGAUGUAGAGUCUGUAUAUAUACAUAUAUGUGUCUACGUGUAUUCAUAUCUUGUACUUGAGCUAUUGUGAUUCAGCCAUAAAUGUGUGAUUUCGUUACCUUUUUUUCUCAAGAAUUUUCUGACUAGCCUUUACAAAGAGCGGUCACUAAAUUGAUCUUCAGAAAAUUCCGGAUGUGUUACAGAAUCUGUUUUCCUCGGUAUCUCUUGCUUAAUAAUGUUUUUUAAGGUUUGCAGCUAAAAAUCAGCCAAGAGGCAGAAUUAUUUGAGCUUCAGUUUCUGUUCAUGGGAGCUUGGAGGAGAAAAGAGAAGACAGUCAUCUUAUAGAGUUACUUGGGUUAAGCAUAGUAAUAGCUAUUUUUUAGAUGCAUAUAUCAUCUGUCAGAUGUGUAUUGUCUAGUUGAUGUAGUUAUUUUGAACAUCAAGUGUUUUUGGAAAGUUCUACCAGAGCUUGGACUUACACGUAUGGAUAGGCAGGACAAGAGUGGUUUUUUCUCAAACGGGCCACACCCUGCCACUCCAAAAAUGAACGACAGAUUUGUCCCUAUCAUUAUGCUGGUAUUACUUUCAUGUUAAUGAUCCACAAAUUUAUCCACCCUGCAUGGCAUUGGCAUUUUUCUGCUAUGCAAUUCCCUAUCCUUCUUUUUAGUAUGAUUUCAGAAAGCGUAACUUUUGUGCUUAAAAUAUAGUUUAUACAUGCUCUUAUAAUUCUGCAGAACAGCACUGUUUUAGCUAGACGUUUGCUGAACAAAGAGUUGGACCCAACGGAAAUCUUGUUCAUGUCUCCCAAUGAGCUAAAGGAUGGUUUGACUACAGAAAAAAAGGCACCAACGAGACCUGAAGCGUCAAAACACUUGCAG